rnacentral:lncRNA from 1 species
CCCCCCUCAAGUGGAGCACCUUCAGGGGAUGGGUUUGGGCACUUUCAGCUCUCACUAGCUGGGGUGAGAGGGAAGGUGGGGGGAGGCCAAAUUGCUGCUCUUGAGGUGCAUUUCUAUAGGAGGAGUGAUCUUGCAAUGUCAGGGCUUUCAAUUAAAAGAAGAAGAAAAAAAAAAAAAAAGGCAGACAGUUCUGGCUGCCUGCGGCUCUGGACUCCCCCGGCAACAUCUCAGUGCAGGGACCCAGCUGACAUUUCUCAUUUCAGCGCCUGCCUCCUCAGCAGCAGUCUGCAAGUUGGCCAGCUCCAGAGAAGAGUCUGGGACCCACCAGCCAGCCACACUGAGCAGCUUUGCAGAGCCCAAGGACAGAGAUCUCCAGAGAGAACAUCGCCUUCCAGCCCCUGGCAAAGGAAAGGAGGAUGCCUUCCAGUUGGAGAGGAGAGAUGGGAAGGGACCCAAAUCUAA